rfam:Asian citrus Psyllid, Diaphorina citri - Florida Strain, whole genome shotgun sequence.
GCCUAGUUAGCUUGGUACGCGCGUCUGCCUUGUAAGCGCUAGGCUGCGGGUUCGAUUCCCGCCCUAGGCG